CUGAUGGAGCGCAGAUUUAAGCCUACAUGAUUCAGGUCCCCCGCUAUUAUGUGAGUCCCAUCUUGAUAUAUGUUUAGCUGGGUCCUAAUGGCACUAUGUAGGAGGCUAAGAGCAGACAUAGCAUUAGCGUCUGGAGCUACAUACACUGCAGUGAUCAGAAUCGCUGACGAUAACUCCCAGCGGAGGAAAAAAGGUCUGCAUUUAAUGACAAGACCAUUGUACUGCAGGAUUAACCUGAGUGUCCCAGUCCUGGACCGUUUUUUAACCAGGAAGAUGCAAGGCCUGAUUUUCGGCUAAGCAGGGAGUCCCUGGCAGUGUUGCUAAAUCUCCUGAACCAAGAUCGGCGGCAUGGUUGUGGUGCCACAAUUGAGAUCCUGGUGUUACUUUUCUGGUUGGCAAGUGGAGCAUCAUACAGGGUGGUCUCAAGAGUGUUUGGGGUGCCUUGUUCUACUGUCCACCACAUCGUCCGCCGAGUCACAAAAGAGGUGGUGGCCAUUCGCCACCAUGUCAUCCACAACCAAACGACCCCAGAGGACCUGGAGCUAGUGGGUUUGCAGGGCUGGCACGCCACAGAGCCUUUCUGAAAGCGGUGGGUGCAAUCGAUGGCUGCCACAUCCACAUCAGGUGUCCAAGCAACCCUGAUGGUCAGUGCUAUAGAAACAGGAAACUGUUUCCAUCUGUCAAUGGAAAUUUGUACUUAGUAGUCAGUAUAAGCUUUUAAUGAUACAGGGAGUGCAGAAUUAUUAGGAGAGUUGUAUUUUUGAGGAAUAAUGUUAUUAUUGAACAACAACCAUGUUCUCAAUGAACCCAAAAAACUCAUUAAUAUCAAAGCUGAAUGUUUUUGGAAGUAGUUUUUAGUUUUAGCUAUUUUAGGGGGAUAUCUGUGUGUGCAGGUGACUAUUACUGUGCAUAAUUAUUAGGCAACUUAACAAAACUUAACCCAAACCAGUACUCCACCUCCACCUUGCUGGCGUCUGAGUCGGACUGGAGCUCUCUGCCCUUUACCAAUCCAGCCACGGGCCCAUCCAUCUGGCCCAUCAAGACUCACUCUCAUUUCAUCAGUCCAUAAAACCUUAGAAAAACCAGUCUUGAGAUAUUUCUUGGCCCAGUCUUGACGUUUCAGCUUGUGUGUCUUGUUCAGUGGUGGUCGUCUUUCA
ensembl:lncRNA